rnacentral:lncRNA from 1 species
AUCCCCAUAUCCUAAGGCAUGCCUGCUUCUCAUUGAUGGGCAAAUAUGGGAGUUCAGCUAGAAUGCUAGAUCCCACCUCCGUCAUGGACUAUAUCCACUCUGACCAAAGAUUUGCUCAGAGAAGUCUCCUACGGCAAUAAAAAUUUCACUUUGUAAUGUCGCCUCUCGUCUUUUCGAGUCUUCCGUCUCAUGUCUGAUCC